UCUCCUCUCCCCUUUCUCCCUCAUCAACGCUGUGCUGGGCCAUUCCGAGCUGCUUCCAGCUAGAGCGCAGAGUCCUUCCCCUCCAAAUCCUCCCUAUUUAUCACCACCAUUCCUCUCCGAUCUCCUCCAAGCUUGCUUCCUGCUUCCUCCCUCCUGUGCUCCGUCGAGCUCCCACGGGCCAUCAGCUCCAGCGACGGCAGGGUCGAGCUCGACCCACGACCGCAACGCGCAUUCGCUUCAUCACCACAUAGGUAAAAAUAUCUUACUGGUUUGAGUUCAUUUGUAACUGGGAACAUUCCUUAAAAGGACCACGUACAUCUCUUACUAUACAUAUACUACAUCAUUGGUUCAGAUCUGCAUAUGCAGCGCCAUAGUUGUGCGAUCUGCCAUGUGUUAGCCCAGGCAUUUCUCACUUGCCGCUCAUGUACUGAAUUUGCCAGUCUUUCUUUUAGCCAAGAAUACUAUACUACUGUAGCUUCUGCAGAAAUUGAGACUUGAGAGGGGGCGUGGCCAUUGCCCGGAUCUAACUCCCGUAUAUAUGGUUUAUUAGUUCAAGAAAGAGGUGAAGGUCAGCUAUGAAGGGGAGCAGGCUGAUUACUCUUCUGUUUCUCGGGUAUCUCGCAGCAGUUGGACAGUGUAAGCAUACAUAGACUGCAUUCUUACUGUUCUGUUUAUUGUCUGAAGAAAACAAUUGCCACAUUGUGCACUAAGGAACAAUGCAUCUAUUGUCUUUUUGAUAGGCUACCAAUAUCAUGAUUCACCGUUACAUGAAGGCAAAAUCAACGUGAAAAUGUGCAUCCCAAGGAACUGCGACGAUCCCAGUAGAGAGAUCGGUUCCAAAGGGUGCUACUACUGCGUCUCACGCCCGGGCAAAGCGCCGUGUUGGCGCAACCUUAAGGAAUGCCAAGGAAAUUGCCCAACAUGCACUCCGAAUUGCCCACCUGGCUCGGCGAUUGAAUUACAAGCAUGCACAUGAGUGCUUGAAUAAUUGUGUUCAUGUUCGUUACUGUAAGUUAGCUCGGCAAAAUAAAUGUGUUGAUGGACAUGUAUCUUUGCCUCUAGUUUGUGCGUCCAAUCUGGUAAGAUCGGUUUCAGCUAAAUGUAUGUCAGGGUUCAUGAUUAAUAAAGUGAAACGAAGAAUGGUUCCUCUUGGCCGUUCUUCAUGUAUGUCAGGGUUCUGAUAUGUACAUGCUGUCGUGGGCAUGACCGCCGAGGUACACUUCGCAGGCUUCCAGGAUGCACGGCAAGCGGCAAGUGAAGUGCUCCUCGACGAACUUGUCAAAAUGCUGGAUGGAGAUAGGAUCAUAGGAGGGGAGAGACCCAUCAAUGUUAUUCAGUACGCAUAUUGUUUCUUAGUGUUGAAAGGUAGGAGUACAGCUGAAG
rnacentral:lncRNA from 1 species